GUGGGGAGCAAACAGGAUUAGAUACCCUGGUAGUCCACGCCGUAAACGAUGUCGACUUGGAGGUUGUGCCCNUGAGGCGUGGCUUCCGGAGCUAACGCGUUAAGUCGACCGCCUGGGGAGUACGGCCGCAAGGUUAAAACUCAAAUGAAUUGACGGGGGCCCGCACAAGCGGUGGAGCAUGUGGUUUAAUUCGAUGCAACGCGAAGAACCUUACCUACUCUUGACAUCCAGAGAACUUAGCAGAGAUGCUUUGGUGCCUUCGGGAACUCUGAGACAGGUGCUGCAUGGCUGUCGUCAGCUCGUGUUGUGAAAUGUUGGGUUAAGUCCCGCAACGAGCGCAACCCUUAUCCUUUGUUGCCAGCGGUUCGGCCGGGAACUCAAAGGAGACUGCCAGUGAUAAACUGGAGGAAGGUGGGGAUGACGUCAAGUCAUCAUGGCCCUUACGAGUAGGGCUACACACGUGCUACAAUGGUGCAUACAAAGAGAAGCGACCCCGCGAGAGCAAGCGGACCUCAUAAAGUGCGUCGUAGUCCGGAUUGGAGUCUGCAACUCGACUCCAUGAAGUCGGAAUCGCUAGUAAUCGUAGAUCAGAAUGCUACGGUGAAUACGUUCCCGGGCCUUGUACACAC
rnacentral:rRNA from 1 species